CCGAGAGCGGCGGGGGGGCGGCGGUGGCAGCCGGGCCCGUGGGCGCAGCCGGGGACAGCUUGCGGCAAUCACGGAACCAUAGAAGGGUUGGGGUUGGAAGGGACCUUAAACUUCAUCUGGUUCCAGACUCCCUGCUGUGGGCAGGGACACUUUCCACUUGUCCAGGUUGCUUAGAGCUGCAUCCAACCUGGCUUUGAACACUUACAUGGAUGGCGCAGCCACAACUUCACUGGGUAACCUGUUCCAGUGCCUCACCACCCUUACAGCAGCGCAAUCCCAGUUCUCUCACCUCAUAGAAGAGGUGCUUCAUCAAUUUGGUGGCCUCCACUGGACUCGUUCCAAAAGAUCAAUGCCCUUCCUGUGUUGGGGAUCCCAGAGAUGGAUGCAGUCAGGCUGUGAGGUUGAUGCACUGAGUUGCUGUCACUAACAAAAGUGUUUUUCUGUUUAUCUGUAAAUAAACUGCUUCUGAAUCUCGUCUUUCUGGGGAAUUUUCCUGCAUGUUUUGAGGUAUCCCUGAACCGCCAGCUCAGCUGUUCAGCAGACCUGCAAUGUGUGAAGUAGCAGAGCGUGCGUUAGGUUGGUGCCGGGUUGCCGGUCUGAGCACCCCUUUUUUUGUGCCUCUCGCUGGGAACUGUGACACCAACCCUCUGUCCAGGCCCUGGGUGAGAGCCUGCUAGCAGCAGCCUGGGCAGAGGAGGCCUGCAUCCUGCAGAGCCAGGCUGCUGGCCUGGAAAAGCUGCUGAAACCUCACCCGCUGGUUGAACACAGCCAUUGGGAGCUUUUAUGCUGCACAUUUAUAUGUUGCGUUUCGCUAGUGGUCCUCUGGCAAUAAAAAUAAUUGUAGUACUGACCAAUGCACUGUGUCCCAGAAGUCUGGAAAAGUCUCUGUGUGUGAGAGAUGUAAGAGGAGGUAUCUUUUUUUAAAGUCAUUGGCUUUUUUUGUCUGUUACUAUGUUCUAUAUGGUUUAACAUUGCCUGGUGUCCUGUUGGGUUCUGGCAUUGAAUAGUGGUAAGUCUAGAUCUUGUAAAAUAGGAUUAAGGAUUGAGUAAACUAUUAGGCUGACUUGCAGAGCAUUUUCUCAAACUAAUCUCUUAAUGAUAGAACAACUGAGAGUUUCAUGCAAUGGCUUCUGACAAGCUCCUGGCCAUGCAUGCAGUGCUGUAAAGCACCUAAUUCUUUCAGUGGGGAGCUAGGGUGUAGGAAUUAAUAAAUGGGCAGAUCUGGCUCUUAAUAAAAGUAUUCAUUAAAACA